rnacentral:rRNA from 1 species
UGCUUGGGAAUAUGCCUUUAGGUGGGGGACAACAGUUGGAAACGACUGCUAAUACCGCAUAACGUGCUUUUUGUGGUGAGAAGUACCAAAGGGGGGGCUCUUCGGACCUCCUGCCUAAAGAUUAGCCCAAGUGAGAUUAGCUAGUUGGUGAGGUAAUGGCUCACCAAGGCGACGAUCUCUAGCUGGUUUGAGAGGAUGAUCAGCCACACUGGGACUGAGACACGGCCCAG